UUGUAAGCUAUCGCUUUACGAUGGGUCUGCGUCUGAUUAGCUAGUUGGUGGGGUAACGGCUUACCAAGGCGACGAUCAGUAGCCGGUCUGAGAGGAUGAACGGCCACAUUGGAACUGAGACACGGUCCAAACUCCUACGGGAGGCAGCAGUGGGGAAUCUUCCGCAAUGGACGAAAGUCUGACGGAGCAACGCCGCGUGAGUGAUGAAGGUCUUCGGAUUGUAAAACUCUGUUGUUAGGGACGAAAGCACCGUGUUCGAACAGGUCAUGGUGUUGACGGUACCUAACGAGGAAGCCACGGCUAACUACGUGCCAGCAGCCGCGGUAAUACGUAGGUGGCAAGCGUUGUCCGGAAUUAUUGGGCGUAAAGAGCAUGUAGGCGGGCUUUUAAGUCUGACGUGAAAAUGCGGGGCUUAACCCCGUAUGGCGUUGGAUACUGGAAGUCUUGAGUGCAGGAGAGGAAAGGGGAAUUCCCAGUGUAGCGGUGAAAUGCGUAGAUAUUGGGAGGAACACCAGUGGCGAAGGCGCCUUUCUGGACUGUGUCUGACGCUGAGAUGCGAAAGCCAGGGUAGCAAACGGGAUUAGAUACCCCGGUAGUCCUGGCCGUAAACGAUGGAUACUAGGUGUAGGAGGUAUCGACCCCUUCUGUGCCGGAGUUAACGCAAUAAGUAUCCCGCCUGGGGACUACGAUCGCAAGAUUGCAACUCAAAUGAAUUGACGGA
rnacentral:rRNA from 1 species